rnacentral:rRNA from 1 species
GACGAACGCUGGCGGCGUGCUUAACACAUGCAAGUCGAACGAAGAGCGAUGGAAGCUUGCUUCUAUCAAUCUUAGUGGCGAACGGGUGAGUAACGCGUAAUCAACCUGCCCUUCAGAGGGGGACACCAGUUGCAAACGACUGCUACUACCGCAUACGAUCUAAUCUCGGCAUCGAGGAUAGAUGAAAGGUGGCCUCUACAUGUAAGCUAUCACUGAAGGAGGGGAUUGCGUCUGAUUAGCUAGUUGGAGGGGUAACGGCCCACCAAGGCGAUGAUCAGUAGCAGGUCGGAGAGGAUGAGCGGCCACAUUGGGACUGAGACACGGCCCAGACGCCUACGGGAGGCAGCAGCGGGGAAUCUGCCGCAAUGGACGAAAGUCUGACGGAGCAACGCCGCGUGAGUGAUGACGGCCUUCGGGUUGUAAAGCUCUGUUAAUCGGGACGAAAGGCCUUCUUGCGAAUAGUGAGAAGGAUUGACGGUACCGGAAAAGAAAGCCACGGCUAACUACGUG